rnacentral:rRNA from 3 species
AAGUCGAACGCGUUGGCCCAAUUGAUUGAUGGUGCUUGCACCUGAUUGAUUUUGGUCGCCAACGAGUGGCGGACGGGUGAGUAACACGUAGGUAACCUGCCCAGAAGCGGGGGACAACAUUUGGAAACAGAUGCUAAUACCGCAUAACAGCGUUGUUCGCAUGAACAACGCUUAAAAGAUGGCUUCUCGCUAUCACUUCUGGAUGGACCUGCGGUGCAUUAGCUUGUUGGUGGGGUAACGGCCUACCAAGGCGAUGAUGCAUAGCCGAGUUGAGAGACUGAUCGGCCACAAUGGGACUGAGACACGGCCCAUACUCCUACGGGAGGCAGCAGUAGGGAAUCUUCCACAAUGGGCGCAAGCCUGAUGGAGCAACACCGCGUGAGUGAAGAAGGGUUUCGGCUCGUAAAGCUCUGUUGUUAAAGAAGAACACGUAUGAGAGUAACUGUUCAUACGUUGACGGUAUUUAACCAGAAAGUCACGGCUAACUACGUGCCAGCAGCCGCGGUAAUACGUAGGUGGCAAGCGUUAUCCGGAUUUAUUGGGCGUAAAGAGAGUGCAGGCGGUUUUCUAAGUCUGAUGUGAAAGCCUUCGGCUUAACCGGAGAAGUGCAUCGGAAACUGGAUAACUUGAGUGCAGAAGAGGGUAGUGGAACUCCAUGUGUAGCGGUGGAAUGCGUAGAUAUAUGGAAGAACACCAGUGGCGAAGGCGGCUACCUGGUCUGCAACUGACGCUGAGACUCGAAAGCAUGGGUAGCGAACAGGAUUAGAUACCCUGGUAGUCCAUGCCGUAAACGAUGAGUGCUAGGUGUUGGAGGGUUUCCGCCCUUCAGUGCCGGAGCUAACGCAUUAAGCACUCCGCCUGGGGAGUACGACCGCAAGGUUGAAACUCAAAGGAAUUGACGGGGGCCCGCACAAGCGGUGGAGCAUGUGGUUUAAUUCGAAGCUACGCGAAGAACCUUACCAGGUCUUGACAUCUUGCGCCAACCCUAGAGAUAGGGCGUUUCCUUCGGGAACGCAAUGACAGGUGGUGCAUGGUCGUCGUCAGCUCGUGUCGUGAGAUGUUGGGUUAAGUCCCGCAACGAGCGCAACCCUUGUUACUAGUUGCCAGCAUUAAGUUGGGCACUCUAGUGAGACUGCCGGUGACAAACCGGAGGAAGGUGGGGACGACGUCAGAUCAUCAUGCCCCUUAUGACCUGGGCUACACACGUGCUACAAUGGACGGUACAACGAGUCGCGAACUCGCGAGGGCAAGCAAAUCUCUUAAAACCGUUCUCAGUUCGGACUGCAGGCUGCAACUCGCCUGCACGAAGUCGGAAUCGCUAGUAAUCGCGGAUCAGCAUGCCGCGGUGAAUACGUUCCCGGGCCUUGUACACACCGCCCGUCACACCAUGAGAGUUUGUAACACCCAAAGUCGGUGGGGU